AUUAAAGUUGUUGCGGUUAAAAAGCUCGUAGUUGGACUUUGGGGUCGAGCGUUACAGACCCUCUCGGUUCUGCCGGGGGGAAUCAGUCUGGAUGUUUCUUCCUCUUUCUCGGAACGUUAACAGGGGUUCAUGGUUCGCCAUGUUCUCUUGGUUUCGCAGGAUUUACUUUGAAUAAAUUAGGGUGUUCAAAGCAGGCGCAACUCGCCUUGAAUACAUUAGCAUGGGAUAAUAGAAUAUGACCUUUGGUCUACUUAUUGGUUUCUAAGGCCAAGGUAAUGAUUAAUAGGGAUAGUUGAGGUCGCUCGUAUUCAAUGGUCAGAGGUGAAAUUCUAAGACCCAUUGAGGACGAACAAAUGCGAAGGCAUUCGACAAGGAUGUUUUCAUUAAUCAAGAACGAAAGUUGUGGGAUCGAAGAUGAUUAGAUACCGUCGUAGUCACAACCGUAAACCAUGUCGACUCAGGAUCCGGGGAUGUUACAUGGAUGACUCUCCGGGCACUGUGUGCGAAAGCAUAAGUAUUCUGACUCCGGGGGGAGUAUGGUCGCAAGGCUGAAACUUAAAGGAAUUGACGGAAGGGCACCACCAGGAGUAGAACCUGCGGCUUAAUUUGACUCAACACGGGGAAACUUACCCAGUCCGGACACAACGAGGAUUGACAGAUUGAUAGCUCUUUCUUGAUUUUGUGGAAGCCGGUGCAUGGCCGUUUUUAGUUGGUGGAGUGAUUUGUCUGGUUUAGUCCGAUAACGAACGAGACCAUAAUCUGCUAAAUAGUGUCGUUAACAAGGAGACUUACGGGGCGGUCGGGUUUACUCGGCAGUUUCGUGGGUUUCCACUAAAUUGUUGGCGAAAGAUUUACUUCUUAGAGAGACUCUUGAUGAUGCAAAAAUCAAUGGAAGAAUAUGGCAAAAACAGGUCUGUGAUGCCGCUCGAUGUCUGGGGCUGCACGCGCGUUACACUGAGAUGUUCAACAAGUAUUAUUCAUGACCUGGCCCGAAGGGGUUCAGGUAAUCUCGAAAGCAUUUCGUGAUGGGGAUUGUGCCUUGAAACUAUUGCACAUGAACGAGGAAUUCCUAGUAAGGGUAGGUCAUCAACCUGCCCUGAUUACGUCCCUGCCCUUUGUACACACCGCCCGUCGCUUCUACCGAUCGAAUUGCUCGAUGAGGACUCGGGAUGAGGGGGUAACUCGUAGGCUGAAAGGUCUGCGCGUCCUCUUCAGAACCU
rnacentral:rRNA from 1 species